UACGUAGGGUGCGAGCGUUGUCCGGAAUUACUGGGCGUAAAGGGCGCGUAGGCGGCCCUCUAAGUCGAACGUGAAAUCCCCGGGCUCAACCCGGGAACUGCGUCCGAUACUGGAAGGCUUGAAUCCGGGAGAGGGAUGUGGAAUUCCAGGUGUAGCGGUGAAAUGCGUAGAUAUCUGGAGGAACACCGGUGGCGAAGGCGACAUCCUGGACCGGUAUUGACGCUGAGGCGCGAAAGCCAGGGGAGCAAACGGG
rnacentral:rRNA from 1 species